GUUUAUUUUAAGUUUUAUACAGUGUGUUCGACGAUGAAGGUGAAUUACUUAAAUUUUUCCAAGCAACUUUGACUUAUAAAAUUUUUUUUUUCUUAAGCUUUUGAUUUAUGCAUGUCAUAUUUAUCUCAUUUGUCUUUUAAUAAUUUAGUGAAAAUCAUAUAAAUGUGAUUUGCUUACGAUACCACACAUAAAUUUAAAAAAAAAAGCAUACGAAAUCACAAGGAACAUCGUAAAAUUGUAGAUAGACUGUUAAAAAAUAUGAUAAAUAUACUACAUGCAUAAAUUAAAACCUUGGCUUGCUCUUAGUAAGUCAAUUUUUAAGAGAGAAAAUAACUUUAGAGUCAAAGUUGCUUAAAAAAAUAAAAUAAUUCAAACUUGAACUGAAAAAGAGGGGUACAAUUAAAAAAAUUAUUUUGUUGCGAAUGAAUGGAAUUUUUUUUAAAAAUAUGUGCAUUAUUAAAUCCUUUAUGCAAUAAAAAGAAAACCAAAUGAAAUUCAACUUCACGAGUUAGAAAUAUUUCGUGUUACCUUUAUUGUUGAACACACUGUAUACAAAUUAAAAAUAGGUUAAUCAACUUUCAAGUACCUACCUGCAUAUCUACCUAUAUUCGUUGCUCAUCAUAUUAUCAUGUUCUUACACCAUCAUUUUUAUUUGUUUAUUGCACAAUGUGUCUGAUCGAUAGAUAUCAUAAAUCAUUAUGUAUAACUAACUAUACCUAACUAUAUAAUUGAUACUUAACCGUAAGACAUACUUGGGCCACAGCUGUUUCUGCAGCCUUGUCAACCCCUGAACACACGUCAACCGCAUUGUGUCAUUUUAUAGUACCAUUGAUUAUCACUAUUUAUAAUAUUAUUCAUGGUACCUAUUACUUAUGGAGCUAUUAUAUUAAAGUAGGUAACCUAUUGGCUUUUAAUUGCUAUUAUAAUCUCAUAUGCGGCUGUACUUACAUCGUACAUAGGUAUACAAAACACUUGACACCAUAAACGAUUGUCGAAUGGUAUAAUUGUACAAGUAUAUGGUGCAAUUAUAAGUAAAAAAAAGUAAUACAUUAAUAAGUACGUGUAUUGUACCUAACUAAGUAAUUUUUAACUUUUCUACUAGUCGUAUAUUUGUAUUACAAUAUGCUUGUUGAAAACAAUUGUUAUCAAAACGUCAAUGGCGAGAACCUGUUAAACAAGAGUUCGGACUCCUGCGCAUUAUAGGCGUUUAUUCAGUCUUAAACUUAAAAGUGCUUAAAUGUUUUACCCCAAAGUUCCUUUGCUCCUCGCCCCCUAUACAGUUUUACGGUUGUAUACAUCAGUCAUAAAUUAAUUUUAUUUCUGAUAAAAUUAUAAAUUACUACGUUCAAAAGUAGUAAACCUGAUUUUUCAGAAUCUUUUUUGACCGAUUUAUAAUAAGUUAUUAUUAUUAUUAAUAACCAAUUAUUGCAAAGACUAUUACAUUCUUCGAUGAACAAUGGAAGCAGACAAGUAGUUAAGGUCAUCCACAUUUUCACUACUUUCAUCAUUUUUGUUUUAUUAAAUUUAAAUAUUAUACUUAACAUAUUUAAACAGGAAAUAUAUGUCCGUGCCAUAGAGGGCUGCUAAGCACUUCCUGGCAUCCCCAUAUGUGUGCCAAUACUCCUGUGGUGAACAUCUAUUGAACAAGAGAUUGGACUCCUGCCUGUUGCAAUAUAGUUCUGCAAAUACGACCGAUGUGUGGUACAAGUUAACGAUAUUAUACACUUAAGAAUCAAAAUAAAAUUGAAGAAGUAAGGGUAAAAGAUCAUGUUUUUGCUUGCUAUCCGAAACCUACUUGAGCCGAAAACCUGGCAAACUUGCUUGGUCCCCACCGAAUAUAUCUCAACCCAUGGAUCAAGGAAUAAUUUAUUACGAAAAAUAUAUUACCACUCGUUUCUUAUACAGUAUGCCUAUUUAAUUGCAAAUAUUGAUCAGAUAAAUAUAGUAUACCUCAAAUAUUUAAAAAAAAAUAAAAGUGCUCAGCGGAAUAUUUUUUGAGAAAAAUUGUUCACGGAAAGCGAAGAAAUGUAUUUACAGAAUGAAUGUGAAAAUAAAGUAAUCCAUCUGAAAAAAAGAAAGGCUCGAGGGGGUUAUUAUUGUAUAAAGAAUAAAGAUGUCAUAUUGGGUAAAGCAUAGAUACCACUUACCUAAUGUUAGUCUAUAAUAUUAACCUCUUACUGCAUAAAGGGGAUAUAAGUCCACUUUUUAUAAUUUUUUAGGAGAGACAAAAAACAUGGGCUUAUCCAUUUUCUGUUGUAAACCAUUAUUUCCAAUAAAUAAAAAUAUAGAAUAUAAUUAUAUAAAUAUAUGAUUAAUUCAUAUAAAAUAAAAAUGAUGA